rnacentral:lncRNA from 1 species
AUAUAUAUAUAUAUAUAUAUAUAUAUAUAUAUAUAUAUAGUAGGGCUAGAAUACUUGUAAAAGUAUCAUGGGGGUGAUACUUGUGUGUUUUUAGCCCUUGGAUGGAGAGAUGUGAGGUUGAGAUGAUGGUGGUAGGUGAUCGAUUACCGCCUUCAUAAAGACGGUAAUCGAUUCACCGCCUUCAAGAAAAAAUUAUACCGUGACUCCUACAUGGCAAAAGGAGGAUUAGUUUGCCAAUUAUUUUUUUUUAGGAUUAUUUAUCUAAUUAGAGAAUUUUGUAGACUUAUUUUGAAAAAAAGGU